UUUUUUUUAGAGAAUGCGAUCGCGAAUUUAAAGGCCUUUUAAUUAAAUUUUUUAGCUGCAAAGUUCGAAAUGAUUUUAAUGCAUUUUUUUCUUCAAAUCACCGAAAAAGUUUUGUUUUGCUUAUGGCCGGCGCGCCCACUGAAAUUAGGAACUUUUUAGGAAAACUCCGCGUCCGUGUUGCUGAUCUUCUCGCUAUGAAAAACAAAAAUGUUCGGGAAAAAAAAUUCUCCUUCUUAUGGGUCGAAAAGUUUCCAUUAUUUACACUUUCCGAAG